UACGAAGGGGGCUAGCGUUGCUCGGAAUCACUGGGCGUAAAGGGUGCGUAGGUGGAUUUUUAAGUCCGUGGUGAAAUCUCUGAGCUUAACUCAGAAACUGCCGUGGAUACUAUUUGUCUUGAAUAUUGUGGAGGUGAGCGGAAUAUGUCAUGUAGCGGUGAAAUGCUUAGAUAUGACAUAGAACACCAAUUGCGAAGGCAGCUCACUACACAAUUAUUGACGCUGAGGCACGAAAGCGUGGGGAUCAAACAGG
rnacentral:rRNA from 1 species